rnacentral:rRNA from 1 species
GAAGGGGAGUGAAACAGUUCCUGAAACCGUGUGCCUACAAUUAGUCAAAGCCCGUUAAUGGGUAAUGGCGUGCCUUUUGUAGAAUGAACCGGCGAGUUACGUUUGCUUGCGAGGUUAAGAUGAAAAGCCGGAGCCGUAGCGAAAGCGAGUCUGAACAGGGCGAAUGAGUAAGCAGAUGUAGACCCGAAACCAAGUGACCUACCCAUGACCAGGUUGAAGGUGUGGUGAAACACACUGGAGGACCGAACCCAUGUA